rnacentral:lncRNA from 1 species
GCCCCACCCCCUGGCUCCCGCACCCUCCAAUGAUCUCGGCCUACGGGGGGUAGUUCCGUCCAAUCCAGUGUCGGAGAGCCGGGCCCGUCCCCGAGAGCGCGGCCAAUGGGACGCGACUCCGGCAACACACCCGCCCCGAUCCACUGGGAGCAAACCGCUCCGAGCCCCGAGGUGGGACCUGCCCCCGGCGCCCAGCGCGCGUCGAGGCCGUGUCACCGGGUGCGAGGCUGUCGAGGAGGCAGGUCUGGGGCUUCGGUUACCGCGGGACGAUCUAGGCUGUGCACGGACACGGCAAGGCUGCGCGUCCUGCUUGUAUAGAGAGAAGGCAGUUGCUGUAGUAUUUGGAUUCAAGGACCGUUUUGAGCUCAGCUACUUCAGUGGGAUUCAAUCAGGCCACUAAUUCCUCUGACUCUAUAAAUGAGGAUGAUAAUAAUUAUAAAUGCUGUAUCUCUUUUGCUGUGUUGUUCUAAGGGGAGAAGCAACCAAUCUGUUUGAACAUGCUUUGCAAACCAUUAUAUGGGUCACCGAUGUUCUUAUUAGCAUGGGUUCUAUUCCUAUUUUAUAGAGAAUGGAGUCACAGUGAUUGAGAUGAGUCCUCUGUUACCCAGUUACAUAAGGUUGGGUCCCUGGCCCCAGGCCCUCAGGUGUUCUAAUGAUUCACAAGUGUUUAUUCCCUUACUUUGACCCACACUUUGAACUGUAGUCAAUAAAUAUAAAAUUAGAAUAGUCAACUGGUUUCUUCAUUUUUAUUUAUUUAUUUAUUUUUUGAAUCGAAGAGUUAGACUAAUUGGUUACCAGGGCUUUUCUGACUGAAAAUUGUACAAUAAUCAAGUAUUUUGUUCAUCAACUCUCUCAAGGCUCUUCAUUGAUUUUGAAGGGCUGUAUGCAACCAACGUGGAGUUAAAGAGCUCUGUAGGAAACAGAAGAAUUUCUUCUUGCUCCAGGGAGAAGAGAAAGGGCACAGAGAACCAGGGAGGUGGUAUGACCUGGGAACUAUAAAGGAUGACACAGUUCCUGAAGAUUUCCUGAAUGUGGGGAUAGAAGGGACAUGGAGAAAUAAUUUCUAAUGUUCAAGGACAAAUUUUCAGUGACAUUUUCUAAACACAUAAAUGGCCUUUGGAGGGAUUUUUUUUGGGGGAGGGGUUCUUGUUAAUUUGUUUUGUUUCAAUGGAUCCAUAUGGAGCAAAGGAAGGUAAAAGGUGACCAUGAAAAUAUAAAACCCUCUCUUCCUUCCACUAGAAUUCUCAGAAAAAUUAGAAUUUUGGACAUCUAUAUCUAGAUGACACAUAGAGUAGAAAAAAAAUCCCUAAUUGUAUCUGCAGGUGUCUGCGGGUUCACUUCUCUCUUGUUAUUGUUAAAGCCUGUGGAUUAGAGAAGCAGAAAAAUUAUAGCAUGUAGAGAUUAUUGCUGAAAGUAGAUAAUACAACAUUGUGUACUUUAGUGCUGUAAAAUACAGUUUUUGAGAAAGUUAAGUAUAUUUAUCAUUACAGAUUUUGCCCUUAAUGUCUAGUAAACAUUAUGGCUAAGUCACAGACUGGAGUAUAAAUCAUGAUUUGUUUAAGGGUUUAGUAUAGGAUAUAUUUAUAUGAAUUGAAUAAUGUAGAAAGAUCAACACCUAAAUGUGAUUAUCUCUGUAUAGUAGGAUUAUGGUAAUCUACAUACUUUUCUGUUUCCUGGUAAUUUUCCAAUAAACAUGUUAAAAUUAAAAUAGUAAAAAGGUAUAUAACUGACACAGAAACUCUCAAAGUUCCAUUAUUGCUACAUUAGUUAUAAAGUUUAUGAAUAAUAAAAGGUUUAUGCAUUAUAUGAAUUAUAUGAAGUUAUCUGCUUAUUGAAAAUCUCUUUACUUGGAAUUUUGAACAAAAAAUUUGAAUAUUCAUUGUGAUAAAAUAAUUUAAAUGCCUUUUAUGAUCAAGUAAAAAUAAGGAAAUAACGUCAAGGGAAGUGAAAUGAAUUUUCAAUGUGAUAGUA